rnacentral:tRNA from 1 species
GCCUGGGUGGUAUAAACUGUUAAAACACUCAGCUGUUAACUGAAAAGCUGGUGGUUUGAGUCCACCCAGACA